CUUUGAGUUCUUCAUCAAGUAAUAAAACUCAAUUGAAAGAGCAUCCCUAUUGGUUUCCUCAGUUGAAAGAGCAUCCCUAUUGGUUUCCUACUCUAUUUUUCUCUGUUCCUUUUUUCAGCUUCACUGGUAUAUUUAUUUUCUGUAAUACUUUGUUACAUGGUAUUAGAGCCAGAUUGCCAAUCAAAUGUUUGAUUCUAUUACCCAGAGAAGAUGAAUGGUGGGUGCAGUGCCUAUGUAGACAAGCUCGUUGGUAAGAAUUAUUGUAACUGGAAGGCAUGCAUGGAAGCUUAUCUACAAGGGCGGGAUUGUGGGAACUUAUCUCUGGUGAUGAUGCAAUUCCAGAGGAUACAUCACAUAAUGCUGAUUUAAGGAGGAGAAGGAAGAUAAAGUGUGGCAAAGCUUUAUUUGCUUUGUGAAUAUCGAUUAGUAAAGAGUACAUCGAGUAUGUUCGUGAUGAGAAGUCGCCAAAGCAAGUGUGGGAGACACUUGAGAGAUUAUUCACUCAAAAAAACAUGAUGAUGUUGUAGUAUUUAGAGAAUGAACUUGCUGGUAUGACUCAAGGUAACUUUUCAAUUUAAUAAUAUUUUUCAAAACUCAAAGCCCUAUUUUUUGAUGUUUCAGAAUUAGAUACGGAGGAACCUGUGAGUGAUGCUAGUUUUUGUCGUUAAGUUGGAAAAUCUGCUCUCAAAUCAGCAAAUACCAGUGAAACAAAUAUUCAGCAACAAACAACUUCAUUAAGUAGAGGAUGUAAAGAACAUCCAAGGACUAAGGGAAAAAGAAUUCAUCCUUAAAGCAUUUUGUAGGCAAUAGAAACUAGUUCAAAACUGAGGGGCAGCUCAAGGAAAAUUCAAAUGUCGAUAAUAGAUGUGCAAAGCUGGGACACAUAAAGCGUGAUGGCUGGGUGAAAGUGGUGUGUAAUCAGUGUGGAAAAUUAGGCCAUAUCAAAUCAAAUUGUUGUGGUAAUUAGAAGGAAAUGGGAGCAAAUGUUGCACAUGAAAGUGAAUUUGAAGAAUCAGAUUGGGAAAAGUGCUUAGCCAUUGAAGUUAUUGAUCAACCAACCAUUGUAACUUCUGUUGUGCAUCAUACUAACGCACUUACAGAUGCAAAUAUUUUCAUUGACUACAACAAGGAAUGGAUUAUUGAUUCCGGGUGUUCUCAUCAUGCAACGGGAAAUGAUGUGCUACUAUUUGAUGUUCGUCCGCGUUGUGGGAAAAAGGUAUGAUAGUUAAUAAUUCAUUACAUCCUGUAAUGAAAGGAGGACUUUUUAAAGAAGGUAACUCUAAUGAUGGAGGCCUUUCUUAAAGGCCUAUAUCAUGUUCCCGGCUAAAAGAAAAAUCUUGCCUCAAUUUCUCAAAUAACGUAUUCGGGAAGGUAUGCUCUUUUUGGUCCAAAUGAUGUGCAAGUUCUUUCUAAUGUGAAGCAUAUUGAAGUUGAUAUUUUGUUUACUGAAAAUGAAAAGAAUCAUUAUACAUAUUGUCUAUAAGUUAUGCAAAUGUUGAAAAGGCAGGUCAGAAUGCAGGCAUGUUCAUUUGGGCCAUGUUGGUUAUCAAAUGCUACAGAAAAUAUCCACAAAGAAACCUGUUGAUGGUAUUCCUGUUUUUAAAGAUAUUCAUCAUGAUGUAGUUUGUCCCGGUUGCCAAUAUGGAAAUUCUCCUUGUCUUUCUUUCCCAAAUUCAAAAAAUAGAGCAUCUACUAUGUUACAUUUGGCCCAUUCAGAAGUCUUGGAGCCAACAAGAACACCUAGCUGCACUGGUUAUCAUUAUGUGAUGGCUAUUGUGGACGAUUUUUCUCGGUUCACUUGGGUUUAUUUCUUGAAACACAAAAGUGAGGUUUUCUCCAAAUUGAUUCAGUUCAAACAGGAUGCAGAAUAAGGAUUUGGGCUACUAAAGUGCUUGCGCACCGACAAUGGACGAGAAUAUAUGUCCUAUCAAUUUCUAAAUUAUUGCAGGCAACAUAGGAUUCAGCGUCAAAUGACUUGUCCAGAAACUCCACAACAAAAUGGGAUUACCAAACAUAAGUUAGCUCAUCUAACAUCUAUGUCUAUAUUAUGGCUACAUGCAAAGAGUCUUCCAAGAGAGCUGUAAGCUGCAGCUAUUCAGGCGACUUGUUAUGUCAUCAAUCGUUUACCUCCAUGGUUGGGGAAAGAAUCAUCUCCUUUUGAGUUAUUGUACAAUUGCAAACCUAAUGUAAGAUAUUUUUCAGUUUUUGGAUCUGUUUGUUAUGUUCAUGUAUUAAAACAUAAUCGAACAAAACUUGGCCCAAGGGUUGUAUUUUUGUUGGCUAUGACAGGAAAGGAUAGAGAUGUAUGGAUCUAGAAGCAACGGUCACUAUUCCUCGUGAUGUGGUGUUUGAUAUAAUGUCAUAUUACAAGUUUGAUGGAAAUGAAGGAAAAAUUAAGCACAGCUAAUCUUGAUUUUUCUACUGGUGAUUCUGCAUCCAGUAAUGGAGGGAGCAAUAUUUAUUCGUCUAAAGAAAAUAUUUAGAUAGAUGAGGGCACUGAGGCUGUCACACGAAAUUCAUCGAGAUAAAGAAAGCAGCCGGACUAUCUAGCUGAUUAUGAAAUUGAGUUUGUUGGGGAUCCUAGGAGUUCAAUCAACCAAAACAUCAACCCAUAGACAAGAUUCAAGGCAAAACAAGAAAAAAGGGGAUGGAAAAAUACAACCUGCGUUCGGCCGAAAUCUGUCCAGCUUUCCUUCCUCGUUUCAGCAGCUUCUUCUUCGAUUUAUGGGUGUUUUUCAGGCUCAGGAACAGCCUUCCAUGACUUGCUAAUUACCUUCCAAGAGAGAGGGGAAAACCAAUGAAGAACCACCACCCUUUGCUAUGAAAACCGAGAGCUCCUCAUUGCUGGGAAUAAAAGAGACCGAGAGCUGCACACCCUUUUGAAAUGGUAGAGAGUACAUAUGAAGGGGAAGGAAGGAAAGACCAUGCCUCUGCCAAAACGUGGGAAGACCUUAUUGUGUCACCAUCAAUACCAUCAAGUCACAACAUUGGGUGGGGUUAGGUGAACCAUAUCCUCACAUUCUUCACCUUGGUUCUCCUAACAUUCUCUCUUGAUUGCGAAUUUGCACAUGGAAGAACUGUUCAUCAUCAUCACCCACCACCUGUAAGAAAAUUAACCAGUGUCAAUGUGUAAUAAAGAUAAGCACGAUCUAAAUUUACUUGCAGGUAGAAUUUUUGUUCCCAUGUCAGAGGGAUUCCUAUCAGUGUGAAUUUUAACAAGAUUAACUUCACCUUGAGACAGUUUCUCACGUAUAAAAUGAUACUUUACCUCAAUAUGUUUAGUUCUUUCAUGGUAAACAGGAUUUUUACAAAGCAAUAAAGCACUUUGACUAUCAGUAAACAUAACAGGUGUAUCAUGCAUGAAGUUCAAUUCUUUUAAAAUUCCUUUUAACCAAGUACAUUCUUUAGCCGCCUCAGUUAUGGCAACAUAUUCUGCCUCAGUACUUGACAAAGUAACUAAAGGCUGCAGCUGUGACUUCCAUGUUAUACAAUUGUCACCUAGUGUAAAAAAGUACGAUGGGGUAGACUUUCUGCUAUCCUUGUCACCAGCAAAAUCAGAGUCUACAUACCCCUUUAGAGUAAGUUUUUCAGAUCUCUUUUCAUACACUAGACCCAGAUUUAAUGUACCAACAAUGUACCUUAACAACCAUUUCAGACCUGCCCAAUGAGGCUUUCCUGGGUUUGACAUAAAUCUGCUCAAAAAACUUAUAGCAUAGGCUAAGUCAGGCCUGGUUGUUAUCAUAGAGAACAUGACGGAACCUAUAGCAUUAGCGUAGGGUAUGUUCCUCAUUUCUCUAAAUUCCUCCUCAGUCUUAGGAGAUUGUGCACCAGAAAGAUUCAUAUGAGCUGCUAAGGGAACGUUCACAGAUUUUGAUCCAUUCAUACCAAAUUUGGUUAUGACUUUGUUUAGAUAGGCUUCUUGGGAAAUGACUAGUCUAUUUUCAGCCCUAUCUCUCUUUAUAACCAUCCCCAAAAUCUUCUUAGCACUCUCCAAAUCUUUCAUAUCAAAUUCUGAUUUUAAAAGGUUCUUCAUCUUAGUGAUUUCAGUCUUACUUGAACUUGCUAAAAGCAUGUCAUCUACAUACAGCAACAAGUAGACCUCACAGCCCUCCUUACUAUCAUUAUAGUACAGGCAUGCAUCAUAUUCACUCCUUUUAAAACCUGUCUUCAGAACAUAGGUAUCGAACCUUAUGUACCACUGUCUAGGGCUUUGUUUAAGCCCAUACAGAGAUCUUUCUAAUUUGCACACACAGUUAGUUUUACCUUUCACCUCAAAACCUUGAGGCUGACUCAUGUAAAUAUCCUCUUCCAAUUCCCCAUGUAGGAAAGCAGUCUUGACAUCUAGUUGUUCCAGUUCCCAGUUGUACUGAACAACCAAUGCAAGAACCAGUCUGAUUGUUUUGUACUUUAUCACAGGAGAGAAUAUCUCAUUGUAAUCAACCCCCUCCUUUUGAGUGAACCCUUUCGCCACUAAUCUGGCCUUAUACCUAGGAGGAUCACUAGGAUUAUUUCCUUCUUUCAAUUUGUAAAUCCACUUACAUUGAACUAUCCUAUGAUCCUUAGGUUUGUUAACUAACUUCCAAGUUUUAUUCUCCAUUAGAGAUUCCAUUUCUUCCCGCAUAGCUUUUAGCCAACUUUCAGAACAUUUUCCAUUAACAGCUUCUUCAUAACUAGCAGGUUCUAUCUGUUCAAGGGCUUCACCUGAAACCAAGGCAAAAUCAGUCAAGUUUAGGGAUUCAUAUCUACGAUUUGGCCUGAUUUGCCUCCUCCCCCGAUCCCUAGUAAGCUGAUAAUCUUGAUUAGGUGGCUGAUCAUUAAAAUGUUCAACUUCAACUGGUUCAAUGUUAUCUUGAAGUUCAGUCACCUCUUCAGGUUCAGGUUCAGGUUCAAUUUCAUUUUCAUUUUCAUGAUGUAUAGGGUCAUUUUCGUCAUUCCCAGGUGUAGGUGAAUUUAGCCUAGUCAGCUUCACCUCAGUCUGAAUACUCUUCUCAGUUUCAGAUUUGUUAGUUUCUUCGUUUUCUGUUUUAGACAUGGCAUCUCAGAUUCAUUAAAGACUACAUUCGUGCUGUUAAUAAUCUUAAUGCCUUGGACCCCUAAAACCCAUAACCUAUAGCCCUUCACACCCUCGGGAUACCCUAACAUCACACACUUGACAGCCCUGGGCUCAAGUUUCCAUUCAGAUUGAUGUGCAUAUGCAGCACAUCCAAACACCCUCAAGUGUUCCAGAUUUGGAGGCUCUCCCGUCCAUAACUCCUGUGGGGUCUUAAACCCUAUACUGCUGGAUGGAGACCUAUUAAUCAGAUAAGCUACAGUACUUGCAGCUUCAGCCCAAAAACCUUUCGCAAGGCCAGAGCUAAUCAACAUACACCUAACUUUGUUCAUUAUGGUCCUGUUCAUUCUUUCAGCGACCCCAUUUUGUUCAGGUGUGUAUUUAACAGUUCUGUGUCUUGUUAUACCUUUCUGCUUGCAGAAGUUGUCAAAUUCGCUAUUACAGAAUUCAAGCCCAUUAUCAGUUCUUAACGUUUUAAGUUUCUUAUCUAACUGAUUCUCAACAGACUUUAACCAAAUCCUGAAUUUUCCAAAAGUUUCCGACUUAGCCUUCAAAGGAUAAAUCCAAACCUUUCUUGAGUAAUCAUCCACUAAGAACAAGAAGUACUUGCUCCCACCAAAUGUGGAGUGCUUCUCCGGGCCCCAUAGAUCAGCAUGGACAUAGUUCAAUGGUGUGCUGGUCCUAUGAGAGCUAGCUUCAAAGCUCACCUUAUGAGACUUAUCCAAAACACAAGUUUCACAGAAUUCCAUAGUUUCAAUGUCAUCUUUUCCAAGUAAUUUCUGAUUACUUAAAGAUUUUAGACCUUUAAACCCAAUGUGACCCAUUCUGUUAUGCCAAAGUUCAGUUUUGUCUUUACUCACAGCAAGAAGGCUAGAAUCAAAUGGUAUUUCAGUUCUACCCUCAAGAUAGUACAGCCCAUUCCUCUUGGGCCCCUUCAUAACUAUAAGAGAACCCUUCAUAAUUUUCAAAAUCUUGUUACCAGACUUGAAGGUAUAUCCCUCAUCUUCCAGAGAACCUAAGGAAAUGAGGUUCCUCUUUAAAUUUGGGACAUAUCUAACAUUUCUAAGUUGCGUGACGGCCCCAUCGUACAUCCUGAUGGCUAUGUCACCAACUCCAAUCACAUUUUGAGAAUUAUUGUCUUCCAUGUAGACCUUCCUAGGUUCAGUCUCCCUAUAGUUAUAAAACCAAGACCUAUCAGGGCACAUAUGGAAAGUGCACCCUGUGUCAAGAAUCCAAUUUUUGUCAAAUUCUUCUUCAGACACAUUCAUGACAUGCAAACUAUUAAAUUCAGUAGCAAUAGCAGCAUUAUCAACAUCAGAAUUGUUCGGGUCUUUUUGUUUCCUUUUCCAAUCAAAGCAGUCUUUCUUGAAAUGUCCUAACUUUCCACAGUGAUAACAUUUCUUACCGCUUUUAUCUUUAGAUUUGGAUCUCAUUUUAGAUUUUCCUCUUUUCCUUCCUCGUUUCAGCAGCUUCUUCUUCGAUUUAUGGGUGUUUUUCAGGCUCAGGAACA
rnacentral:lncRNA from 1 species